GGGUUGUGAGGUUAAGCGACUAAGCGUACACGGUGGAUGCCCUGGCAGUCAGAGGCGAUGAAGGGCGUGCUAAUCUGCGAUAAGCGCCGGUAAGGUGAUAUGAACCGUUAUAACCGGCGAUACCCGAAUGGGGAAACCCAGUGUGAUUCGUCACACUAUCAUUAACUGAAUCCAUAGGUUAAUGAGGCGAACCGGGGGAACUGAAACAUCUAAGUACCCGAGGAAAAGAAAUCAACCGAGAUUCCCCAGUAGCGGCGAGCGAACGGGGAGGAGCCCAGAGCCUGAAUCAGCAUGUGUGUUAGUGGAAGCGUCUGGAAAGGCGCGCGAUACAGGGUGACAGCCCCGUACACAAAAGCGCAUGUGCUGUGAGCUCGAUGAGUAGGGCGGGACACGUGGUAUCCUGUCUGAAUAUGGGGGACCAUCCUCCAAGGCUAAAUACUCCUGACUGACCGAUAGUGAACCAGUACCGUGAGGGAAAGGCGAAAAGAACCCCGGCGAGGGGAGUGAAAAAGAACCUGAAACCGUGUACGUACAAGCAGUGGGAGCACCCUUCGGGGUGUGACUGCGUACCUUUUGUAUAAUGGGUCAGCGACUUAUAUUCUGUAGCAAGGUUAACCGUAUAGGGGAGCCGGAGGGAAACCGAGUCUUAACCGGGCGUUAAGUUGCAGGGUAUAGACCCGAAACCCGGUGAUCUAGCCAUGGGCAGGUUGAAGGUUGGGUAACACUAACUGGAGGACCGAACCGACUAAUGUUGAAAAAUUAGCGGAUGACCUGUGGCUGGGGGUGAAAGGCCAAUCAAACCGGGAGAUAGCUGGUUCUCCCCGAAAGCUAUUUAGGUAGCGCCUCGUGAAUUCAUCUCCGGGGUAGAGCACUGUUUCGGCUAGGGGGCCAUCCCGGCUUACCAACCCGAUGCAAACUGCGAAUACCGGAGAAUGUUAUCACGGGAGACACACGGCGGGUGCUAACGUCCGUCGUGAAGAGGGAAACAACCCAGACCGCCAGCUAAGGUCCCAAAGUCAUGGUUAAGUGGGAAACGAUGUGGGAAGGCCCAGACAGCCAGGAUGUUGGCUUAGAAGCAGCCAUCAUUUAAAGAAAGCGUAAUAGCUCACUGGUCGAGUCGGCCUGCGCGGAAGAUGUAACGGGGCUAAACCAUGCACCGAAGCUGCGGCAGCGAACGUAUCACCCAAGACAACUUUACGGAGUUGACGAUUGACGGAGCGAAGCGACGUCAAAGCGUUCAUUAAAGUCGAGUUGGCUUAGGGAUACGUUCGUUGGGUAGGGGAGCGUUCUGUAAGCCUGUGAAGGUGUGUCGUGAGGCAUGCUGGAGGUAUCAGAAGUGCGAAUGCUGACAUAAGUAACGAUAAAGCGGGUGAAAAGCCCGCUCGCCGGAAGACCAAGGGUUCCUGUCCAACGUUAAUCGGGGCAGGGUGAGUCGACCCUAAGGCGAGGCCGAAAGGCGUAGUCGAUGGGAAACGGGUUAAUAUUCCCGUACUUGGUGUUACUGCGAAGGGGGGACGGAGAAGGCUAUGUUGGCCGGGCGACGGUUGUCCCGGUUUAAGCGUGUAGGUGUGUGUUCCAGGUAAAUCCGGUUCACUUUAACACUGAGGCGUGACGACGAGGCACUACGGUGCUGAAGCAACAAAUGCCCUGCUUCCAGGAAAAGCCUCUAAGCAUCAGGUAACACGAAAUCGUACCCCAAACCGACACAGGUGGUCAGGUAGAGAAUACCAAGGCGCUUGAGAGAACUCGGGUGAAGGAACUAGGCAAAAUGGUGCCGUAACUUCGGGAGAAGGCACGCUGACACGUAGGUGAAGUGAUUUACUCAUGGAGCUGAAGUCAGUCGAAGAUACCAGCUGGCUGCAACUGUUUAUUAAAAACACAGCACUGUGCAAACACGAAAGUGGACGUAUACGGUGUGACGCCUGCCCGGUGCCGGAAGGUUAAUUGAUGGGGUCAGCGUAAGCGAAGCUCCUGAUCGAAGCCCCGGUAAACGGCGGCCGUAACUAUAACGGUCCUAAGGUAGCGAAAUUCCUUGUCGGGUAAGUUCCGACCUGCACGAAUGGCGUAAUGAUGGCCAGGCUGUCUCCACCCGAGACUCAGUGAAAUUGAACUCGCUGUGAAGAUGCAGUGUACCCGCGGCAAGACGGAAAGACCCGUGAACCUUUACUAUAGCUUGACACUGAACAUUGAGCCUUGAUGUGUAGGAUAGGUGGGAGGCUUUGAAGUGUGGACGCCAGUCUGCAUGGAGCCGACCUUGAAAUACCACCCUUUAAUGUUUGAUGUUCUAACGUGGACCCGUAAUCCGGGUUGCGGACAGUGUCUGGUGGGUAGUUUGACUGGGGCGGUCUCCUCCUAAAGAGUAACGGAGGAGCACGAAGGUUGGCUAAUCCUGGUCGGACAUCAGGAGGUUAGUGCAAUGGCAUAAGCCAGCUUGACUGCGAGCGUGACGGCGCGAGCAGGUGCGAAAGCAGGUCAUAGUGAUCCGGUGGUUCUGAAUGGAAGGGCCAUCGCUCAACGGAUAAAAGGUACUCCGGGGAUAACAGGCUGAUACCGCCCAAGAGUUCAUAUCGACGGCGGUGUUUGGCACCUCGAUGUCGGCUCAUCACAUCCUGGGGCUGAAGUAGGUCCCAAGGGUAUGGCUGUUCGCCAUUUAAAGUGGUACGCGAGCUGGGUUUAGAACGUCGUGAGACAGUUCGGUCCCUAUCUGCCGUGGGCGCUGGAGAACUGAGGGGGGCUGCUCCUAGUACGAGAGGACCGGAGUGGACGCAUCACUGGUGUUCGGGUUGUCAUGCCAAUGGCACUGCCCGGUAGCUAAAUGCGGAAGAGAUAAGUGCUGAAAGCAUCUAAGCACGAAACUUGCCCCGAGAUGAGUUCUCCCUGAGACUUAGAGUCUCCUGAAGGAACGUUGAAGACGACGACGUUGAUAGGCCGGGUGUGUAAGCGCAGCGAUGCGUUGAGCUAACCGGUACUAAUGAACCGUGAGGCUUAACCUUACAACGCCGAAG
rnacentral:rRNA from 1 species